CAAUGGCCGGGUGUUCAGGCACGGGUGUGCGCUCAGCUGCCAUGGCCCAGCCUAGAGCACCUGCUGUCACUGCCAUGGUGGCCCCGCUUUUGCUGUGACAAAGACGAGUCGGGUGCUGAACACUAUCCUCCCCGAAGCCCAUGUGUUUCAAGGACUUUCUUGUACAGUUUCUUUGUCUGCGGAAUCAGGGAAAAAUGGAAAGGGUCAGCCACAGAAUCCCAAGAAAAAGUUCACCAAAAAAACCAGCCCAAUGCCUGCUGAGUCAUUUCACAACACUACCUACAAGAACCUCCAGCAUCAUGACUACAACACGUAAAUCUUCUUAGACCUGAACAUCGACCUCUCAAAAUUCAGGAUGCCUCAGCCCUCCUCAGGCCAGGAGUCACCUCCACACUGAGGGCCCUCGGUGUGAAGAUGAACCUUGCACUGUCUCUGCUACAUCCUGGAGUGCAAAAAUAAAAUCCACUCAAG